UUGUUUACAACUUUCUCCGACCAUCUAGGACGUGUUUUAUGCCACUUCUUUUUCUGUCUCAUUUUGUCCACCAAACUUUUAACAAUGUGCACGAAUGCACAAAGUGGAAGCCCCUGCGAUGAGGUGGCGACUUUUCCAGGGUGUAUCCCGCCUUCCGCCCGAAUGCAGCUGAGAUAGGCUCCGCAACCCCGAAAGGGACAAGCGGUAGAAAAUGGAUGGAUGGAUGGAAAAUGUAUAAAAAAUGUGAGAGGAUGAACGGCUGCCUAAAGAAGUGAGCAUGAAGACAGGGCGAAACGUUGGAGCAGACGGAAACCGAGAGAUUGAGGUCGGCGUGACUUCACGGUGUAAAUAUGGAAGCUAUGCCGACAGAAAUGGUGUUCUUCCCCAAAAUCAACUGGAAAAACUUCCCCGGCCAGUUUGACCAAGAGGACAAAUGUCCAUCAAGUGAGUCACACUUUAUAUUGAUCAUGAUACAUGCAGCACACCAUGCCUGUUAUUACAACUACAGUACACACAUAAGAGAGUGAGGUCGGCGUAACUUAACGGUGCAAAUGUGGAACUUGAAGCUAAGCUAUGCUGACAGAAAUGGUGUCCCUCCCCAAAAUCAACCGGAAAAACUUCACCAGGCCAGCUUGACCAAGAGGACAACUGUCCAUCAAUUACACCAGAUAGCCUUCCUUGCCAGAAGUGACGUCAAUUCCGGAAAGGACUGCUACCGCUCGCUGCCGUGCAAAAGCUAAGUAGUAUCAUUCUAUCUGUGUGCUUCUAAUUGUUUAACAGCUUUCUUUAUUCCUUCUCCAACAUAUUUAGUAGUCUUAUCAAACUUACAAAGCACCCACUCUCUGUUUCACCGCCUCUCUCUUAGCUAGCUAGCCAACGACGCUAAGCUAAUCCCGGUCCAAAACAACUGUGUUCCGAAGACGUCUGCUACUCUUCGCCUACUGCUCGGAAGACAGCAAGAACUUGACUCGGUAAAAGAAACAACGGCAGUUUUUCUUAACCUGGGUUCCAUCGACCCCUAGGGGAUUGGUGAGUCGGCCUCAGGGGUUCCGUGGAGGUCAAAACACACCUCCUCCCUAUCGGCGUUUUACGGAUACAACAACAGCAGAAGUCACACUGAUUUGCAGUGGAACUGGAGGAUGUGGCCGUAGACCGGAAAGUCUGGGUUUCCCUACUGACACUGCAGUGCCCUCGAUCCAGACCCAGAUAAGCGGAAGAACAUGGAGAGAAGGCAACACAACAAUGAAUUCAUCAGACCUGCACAGGCCGUGACUGGAAUCCUCUUCCAGUCCACUAUGAUGACAUCAUUGGUGUAGCUGGUGGAUGUGAGACACCUCCUUCAAACUUCCUCUCCCAUAAGGCUGUCCCUCAGCCUCCCUCCUCUCUUCUGUUGAUGUCCCUCGGGAGGAGACCAGAACUCUUGAGGAAUUUGGGAGCGGAAACACCUCACUACUGGAUUCCAGAGUUGGAGAAGACUAGAAUGUGAAGGCCGCGGACUGAGGCGAGAGAAUGUGUUUCCUUUCCUCAUAGGUGUCAAUGAUCAAUUUCCCAUGGUUCCCAGGGGAAGGCGUGAGUAAUUGAGCACAGCUGUUUGCAAUUACCCCAGCCUAUUUACACUCAACAGACACACUUGGUGUGGCGGAAUCCUUCUACUGUGUUCCAACACAUUGAGUCCACGCCAGCAGGGCCGGCCCGUGGCAUAGGCCGUAUAGGCAAAUGCUAAGGGCGCCGUCCAUCAGGGGGCGCCACACCAGUGCCACAAAUGUUGGAGAAAAAAAGUUGGUACUAUUAUUUCUAAGUACAAAAAAUAAUCCCACGUUAAUUAAAAUGCAAAGUAAAGCCUAUUUAAUAGAAAUAUUAUUUGUUACAACAUUAACCGUAACGGUGCGCCCCCUCCCUUCCCGUAUCAUGGUUUUUUUUGGACGUCACCACAUCAAAAAAUCAACACAAGAUGUCAAAACGGCCAAAACUGUCA